GUGGGGAAUAUUGGACAAUGGGCGAAAGCCUGAUCCAGCCAUGCCGCGUGUGUGAAGAAGGUCUUCGGAUUGUAAAGCACUUUAAGUUGGGAGGAAGGGUAGUAACCUAAUACGUUGCUACUUUGACGUUACCGACAGAAUAAGCACCGGCUAACUUCGUGCCAGCAGCCGCGGUAAUACGAAGGGUGCAAGCGUUAAUCGGAAUUACUGGGCGUAAAGCGCGCGUAGGUGGUUCAGUAAGUUGGAAGUGAAAUCCCCGGGCUCAACCUGGGAACUGCUUUCAAAACUGCGGAGCUAGAGUACGGUGGAGGGUGGGGGAAUUUCCUGUGUAGCGGGGAAAGGCGUAGAUAUAGGAAGGAACACCAGUGGCGAAGGCGACCACCUGGACGGAUACUGACACUGAGGUGCGAAAGCGUGGGGAGCAAACAGGAUUAGAUACCCGGGUAGUCC
rnacentral:rRNA from 1 species